UACGGAAGGGGCUAGCGUUGUUCGGAAUCACUGGGCGUAAAGCGCGCGUAGGCGGCCGGUCAAGUGCGGCGUGAAAGUCCUGGGCUCAACCCGGGGACGGCGCUGCGGACUGUUCGGCUGGAGUCCGGAAGAGGGUGGUGGAAUUCCGAGUGUAGAGGUGAAAUUCGUAGAUAUUCGCAAGAACACCAGUGGCGAAGGCGGCUCACUGGCCCGAUACUGACGCUGAGGCACGAAAGCGUGGGGAGCAAACAGG
rnacentral:rRNA from 1 species